AGCCACAGAAAUUCUGAAGAACGACAUAACAUAGAGAAGGAAAAAAAAGGCCGUCAUGGCAAUAUUCAACAAGAACACAAGUGCCCAGUGCUUGUUGGCUCUUGUGCUCAUCGCUACUGUCAUUUCGUCUUGCGAUGCGUUUGGCCCAGGUACGUGCGUCUCUGACCUAACUAUAAGUCAAUGUAGUUUUGCCAUGUGAUGCUAAUUUUCUAUGUAUUUCACAAUAUUGAGUUGUAUGGAUCUUAUGGCAUCUGGUCCAUGCUGAAGCGUAACUUGCCAUGUUGUGCGGGUAUUCUUCUAACAAUGUUUUUUUGUGUGAACAUGUAGAAGGAGGAUGUUUCAGGCCUUUCCUGAGUUGCGAUCUGGACUUAUGCAGGCGUGACUGCAAUGGUUUAUUUGCCUCUUGCCAAAUGAUAGGCGAGUUUCACCACCGAUGUUGUUGCGCUCCCAAGAAACUCAGUGCAUCUAUUGAUAAGAAUAGUCAUCCUUGAGAUAUGCAUUCCGAAAUUAUAGUUUAUAUGUCACUGCUUUUUCCUGGAUCCAAUUUUGCAUGACUGAGUUAAAUUUAUCGCAAUUGAAAAAAUAUCGCUCCCGAGAUAUUUACGUAUCGCAUGAAACCAUAAUGCUUUGUUUGGAUGUUCAUAUUCAAACUUCAACAAUGAUAUUGGGGCCAAUAUCAAUUCAACUUGGACAUUGACAUUGACACGUAAGAUAAAUUCUGCUGUUUGGAUGCUGAUAUAUUUGACACUUAAACAGUGACAUUGAGACCUGUAAGUGCAUCUAGUGCCCCUUAGUGAUUUUGGUGUAUUGAAGACUUAGAGGUUAAGAGACUAAUGUGUUUGUGACUGUACAUAGGUCUAUAAGUCUAUGAGGAGUUUGAUAUUUACAGAAAAAGUCGACCCCUAAAAAUGAAUGUCUUCAACUGAAGACUUUGGCUUUCUGAAGACUUUGAAAGUGAAGAAAUUGGUGUGACCGUGAAGACUUGAUAUUCCUGCGAGGAACAUGAAGCGUGAAGACUUUUGUUUUCGUAGUUUCAUUUUCUCUUUCUUGACUCAUAGGAAACACCAUACUGUUAAAGGGGGUCGAGGAAAAACUAAGAAAAAGUUUCCAAGUGAUGCUCAUCUCAAAAUCCUACACCUACCAAUCCCUUCGAGUGAAGCCAUUAGAAAUCUCAUACAGAUCAGUCAAUUUCUUCAGUGACAGAGACGAAGUUCUUCUGGUCUCUGAGAAUUUGUUCUGACUGAGGAGAUAGGAAUUCGCCAGUGCGGAUUGCCUACAAAUGAGGAACAUGAUAGUCCUGAGGAAUUUGAAC
rnacentral:lncRNA from 1 species